rnacentral:rRNA from 1 species
GACGAACGCUGGCGGCGUGCUUAACACAUGCAAGUCGAACGAUAAGGCCCCUUCGGGGGUACACGAGUGGCGAACGGGUGAGUAACACGUGAGCAACCUGCCCUUGACACUGGAAUAACAGUUGGAAACAGCUGCUAAUACCGGGUAUGACACAUUCUCGCAUGGGGGUGUGUGGAAAGCCCUGGCGGUCAAGGAUGGGCUCGCGGCCUAUCAGCUAGUUGGUGAGGUAAUGGCUCACCAAGGCUUCGACGGGUAGCCGGCCUGAGAGGGCGACCGGCCACACUGGGACUGAGAUACGGCCCAGACUCCUACGGGAGGCAGCAGUGGGGAAUAUUGCACAAUGGGCGAAAGCCUGAUGCAGCAACGCCGCGUGCGGGAUGACGGCCUUCGGGUUGUAAACCGCUUUCAGUAGGGACGAAGCUAACGUGACGGUACCUACAGAAGAAGCACCGGCCAACUACGUGC